AGUCGAACGGAGAUUACAGGCGGAAGUUUUCGGAUGGAAGCUUGUAAACUUAGUGGCGGACGGGUGAGUAACACGUGAGCAACCUGCCUAUCAGAGGGGGAUAACGAUUGGAAACGAUCGCUAAUACCGCAUGACAUAGCGGAAUCGCAUGGUUCUGUUAUCAAAGAUUUUAUCGCUGAUAGAUGGGCUCGCGUCCGAUUAGAUAGUUGGUGGGGUAACGGCCUACCAAGCCGACGAUCGGUAGCCGGACUGAGAGGUCGAACGGCCACAUUGGGACUGAGACACGGCCCAGACUCCUACGGGAGGCAGCAGUGGGGGAUAUUGCACAAUGGGGGAAACCCUGAUGCAGCGACGCCGCGUGAGGGAAGACGGUCCUCUGGAUUGUAAACCUCUGUCUUCGGGGACGAAACGAGACGGUACCCGAGGAGGAAGCCACGGCUAACUACGUGCCAGCAGCCGCGGUAAUACGUAGGUGGCAAGCGUUGUCCGGAAUUACUGGGUGUAAAGGGAGCGUAGGCGGGCAGGCAAGUCAGGCGUGAAAUAUAUCGGCUCAACCGGUAACGGCGCUUGAAACUGCGGGUCUUGAGUGAAGUAGAGGUUGGCGGAAUUCCUAGUGUAGCGGUGAAAUGCGUAGAUAUUAGGAGGAACACCAGUGGCGAAGGCGGCCAACUGGGCUUUUACUGACGCUGAGGCUCGAAAGUGUGGGGAGCAAACAGGAUUAGAUACCCUGGUAGUCCACACCGUAAACGAUGAUUACUAGGUGUGGGGGGACUGACCCCUUCCGUGCCGGAGUUAACAUAAUAAGUAAUCCACCUGGGGAGUACGGCCGCA
rnacentral:rRNA from 1 species